rnacentral:rRNA from 1 species
UAAGACGUAGGAGGCGAGCGUUAUCCGGAUUCAUUGGGCGUAAAGGGCAAGUAGGCGGUAGCUCAAGUUGGGCGUGACAGUUCUCGGCUUAACUGAGAGAGGACGUUCAAAACUAGGUUACUAGAGGGCAGAAGAGGGAGGCGGAAUUCCUAAUGUAGCGGUGGAAUGCUCAGAUAUUAGGAAGAACACCAGUGGCGAAGGCGGCCUCCUGGUCUGGCCCUGACGCUGAGAGGCGAAAGCUAGGGGAGCGAACGGGCUUAGAUACCCCGGUAGUCCUAGCUGUAAACGGUGGAUACUAAGUAUUAGGGGGUAAGACCCUUAGUGCUGAAGCAAACGCGAUAAGUAUCCCGCCUGGGGACUACGGCCGCAAGGUUA